AUUGAACGCUGGCGGCAGGCCUAACACAUGCAAGUCGAGCGGAUGAAGGGAGCUUGCUCCUGGAUUCAGCGGCGGACGGGUGAGUAAUGCCUAGGAAUCUGCCUGGUAGUGGGGGAUAACGUCCGGAAACGGGCGCUAAUACCGCAUACGUCCUGAGGGAGAAAGUGGGGGAUCUUCGGACCGCACGCUAUCAGAUGAGCCUAGGUGGGAUUAGCUAGUUGGUGGGGUGAAGGCCUACCAAGGCGACGAUCCGUAACUGGUCUGAGAGGAUGGUCAGUCACACUGGAACGGGGACACGGUCCAGACUCCUACGGGAGGCAGCAGUGGGGAAUGUUGGACAAUGGGCGAAAGCCUGAUCCAGCCAUGCCGCGUGUGUGAAGAAGGUCUUCGGAUUGUAAAGCACUUUAAGUUGGGAGGAAGGGCAGUAAGUUAAUACCUUGCUGUUUUGACGUUACCAACAGAAGAAGCACCGGCUAACUUCGUG
rnacentral:rRNA from 1 species